AAAUAAGUGACUUAAAAGAAGGCAUUCCAUCAUAGAUGGCAAAAAAACAAAAAUCUGUUGGGCCAGUAACUCUUAUUUUUCUUUGAGUAUUUUGCUUAGUAGGUUAAAAAGUGAUAAUUAAUUCAAGUUUUUGUUAUUGUUCUUCGAAACGUCAUUUUUAAGACCCGAGGCUCUAGUGCUGCAUUUCCUACCUGUUAAUAAAGGAAUAUCUGGAACAUAAAUAUUUGUGCAGUGAGUGGGAAUUUCUGUAGAAGUGUUUCAACAGAUACAGUACAAACUCCCAGAGGCAGAGAUGCUACAGCAGUGGGUUUGCAUAUUUAACAUCUUGGUCGAGAUUGUGAAACUUUCUCCAAUAACUUUCUACCCAUUUAUAACCUUAGUAAUAUACAAAUGUGACUUUUUUUAGUAUCCUUGCUAGUAUUGGGCGUUGUCAUUGUUUUAAUCUUUGCCAGUCUGAUAGGUAUAAGUGAUACUCAUUUAAAUUGAAAUCACAAUAUUUCUUUUUUAACUGAAUUAAAAAUCAGCAUUAAGUGAGGUUUACCAAGCAUUGGUGGUGAUUACUGGGUAUUGGUGACUCAGGAUGUUGGACUGUUGGCAUGAUAUUGCCUUGAUUGCCUAAUCUGUAACUCCUAAUAAAUACUGGAAAAUUAGCUUGCCUGAAACAUUGGUAAGAACUUUUUAAAAAUUACCUUUAUUUUCUUACUUGGUCCUUGACUGCAUCUUAGGCCCCAGCCAGUUAUAUAUGCAUAUGAUAUGAUGACAAAUGAAAAUGGUUAAGACAGCGUGUAUCUUGUCGCUAGAGGGAUGCUCUUAGGGCAGAGACUUUUUUGUAUAUUUUGAAUAUGAAUUUUAGCUUAAUCACAACAAAAUUUGCUUGAAUAUGUAUAUAUUAACUACUCUGUCACUUUUGCUAAUCUGCAUUAAAGGAAAAUCACCUUUUGGUUAAUGUAAGACCGUGACCUUUUUCUGCGUUGCUUUCUAUAGUGUCUUCUGGGACUCUCCUAUUCAUUGCUUGCCUGUGCAUUGUGGCCAAUGGUGGCAUUUGUAGUUCCUGAACAUCAGCUGGGAACUGCAUAUGGCUUCAUGCAGUCCAUUCAGAAUCUUGGGCUGGCCAUCAUUUCCAUCAUUGCUGGUAUGAUACUGGAUUCUCGGGGGUAUUUGUUUUUAGAAGUGUUCUUCAUUGCCUGUGUUUCUUUGUCACUUUUAUCUGUGGUCUUACUCUAUUUGGUGAAUCGUGCCCAGGGUGGGAACCUAAAUUAUUCUGCAAGACAAAGAGAAGAAAUAAAAUUUUCCCAUACUGAAUGAGAAGUUAAAAUGAAUGUGUCAUGAGAAUGGGCUUAACACAUCGUUGGUUUGAAAACCUCCAUUUUUAGAAAUUAAGAGUUUAGUCAUUAGAAAAAAUAAUGGACUGGAAAGUUAUAUUUAUAUCCAAAUAUACCUAUUUCAAAGUGUAUUUGUGAGGCCUGUUUUAGCCUGUGUCUUUUGUAUUGUGUGCUGCUAAAGAAUUCUACUUUUAGUAGGCUAAUCAACAAUGAAAGGGUUAGAAAAUUUUUGUGGAACAUCCAGGUGAACUUCAGGAAGGACAGUGAAAAAUGGAAAACAUUGGAGCUUCUGUUGAGAUAAUCUUCAUUAGGUAUAUAUUUUAGGGAUACAGCCUUUUCUUUAUCUUAUAGCAGGAAAAAAAAAACUUUUGAGGGGAAUAGAAGGACUGUGUUACACAAAAUAAACAAUAGCAUUGUCAUAGGCCUUCCUUUUAGUAGUAGGGCAUAAUGCUAGGGAAUAUGUGAAGAUGUUUUUAUGAAGUCUCUUUCUGAUCACGAGCAAUAGCUUGCACUCUACUCUGUAGUUAUGUGGAUUGCUGAGCAAUGACCCUUUUCAAUUUCUUAUUUCUGUGUUACUGAGGACCCUAAUUACUUAGGGAUGUAAUUUUAUAGUAUAAACUUUCUGUACAGUUUUUCUUAUAGUCUAAUAAGUAAGAAAUGUCCUUCAAAUUAUGAUAAUUGCCUGUAUACAUGGAUAAAUUAAAACACUGCACACGGAGU
rnacentral:sRNA from 1 species